UACGAAGGGGGCUAGCGUUGCUCGGAAUCACUGGGCGUAAAGGGCUCGUAGGCGGUCUGUCGCGUCGGGAGUGAAAACUCAGGGCUUAACCCUGAGCCUGCUUCCGAUACGGGCAGACUAGAGGUAUGCAGGGGAGAACGGAAUUCCUGGUGUAGCGGUGGAAUGCGCAGAUAUCAGGAGGAACACCGGUGGCGAAGGCGGUUCUCUGGGCAUUACCUGACGCUGAGGAGCGAAAGUGUGGGGAGCGAACAGG
rnacentral:rRNA from 1 species